GGGAGACACCUGGAAGCCUCUGAGCGGAGCCCCAGGGAGGGAGCUGUGCCACCGCCGUUGCCUGGCUCCCAGCGGAGAGAGGACGGAGGGCGUGACCAUGCAACUCCAGCGAGGCUCAACUGGUGCGAGGCGGGUGCUGCGUCGCGCUUGGGCCGUGCGCCCUGGGUGGCUUUGCAAGGCGGGCGGCGAAUGUGCAGGGUCAGGUUUUUUGCAUGAAGCCGCUGGACCCCUCGGAGCAGCGGCAGCGACAGGGGCGGUGGAGCACAGUUGGAGGCGGGCAGCUACGGGUCCGCGUCCCGGUGCCUAAGCGACUGCAGACUCCCCCAUGAACCACAGCUGAGGCUUCCCGGGAGGCGGUGGCGCCCGAGGCCGGGUGUGCAAGGACGGGGAAGGGAGCAUCUCAGGGCACUUCAUGCUCCAGACCUCAGCCUUGGACCCUAGUGGUGUAGGAAUGGCUGACCGAUCAUGGCGGCUGGUGUCCCUACAGCCCUGCUGUGAAACACCACUUCAAGGCGGUGCUGCGCUGGUCCACGCGCGGGGCCAGCGUGGUGUUGGGCUAGGUGGAGAGACAGAUUGCCCCCUACAUCAUCGACCUGCAGUCCAUGAACCAGUUCCGCCAAGACACGGGUGAGCCAUCCAAAUCCCUGGUCUGUCCACUGACUCACCCAGUGACUAGCUUUGCUUACUGAUGUCCUCACGUGAUAGGUGUUGAGGGCAGGUGUUUCCCUUCCUUAGAUCCUCACAGGAUUCCAAGACCACCUUCAAGUAUUUGUCCUGGCAAGUAGUUUAAAUUGUCUUGAUUAUACAAACCCAGCUUCGGCCUAGCUGCAGGAGACCCCUUUAUGCCCCCAUCGCCACCCCCAGCCCCUACUGGCCCUUAGUGCAGGAAUUCUAGGACUUUGCAGUUCCCAAGGAAUGCGGGGUCUUCAGCAAGAUACUGCUGGAGCCCUUUUACUGCUCACACCUCAGCUGACUUUGCUUUGCCUCAAGCACCUUUGGGGCUGCCGUACACCUCCCCCUCCCUUCAACCUGGCUGAAUCUGGCCCUCUUCUAUGGACCCCCCCUUCCCACUGACAACUCCUGGAUGUAAGAUUUGGGAAGCCGUAGGGUUCCUCAGUGUCUAGUUACAGUCUAGUGUGUGAAAAGUGCUGGAAAAUUACUGGGAAGAGAGAUUGGAGCCAGGGAUUCCAGAGCUGGAGCAUCUGGAUGUGGUGGAGAGAAGAACCGGAGGACUGGGCUCCGGAAUGCCUGGCAGAGAGGCUCCUCCCUUUGUCCACAGAGGACAGGACAGAGUGAACAUUCUGCAACAUUCUCCAACAGCCUGCAGAGUGGAGAAUGUCUUUGCCAGCUAUGCCUCAGACAGGGGCUGGGCGUCUAGAAUAUAUAAAGAACUGCAGUAAUUAAACUUCAAAAUAGCUAGUCAAUAAAUCAGCCAAUGAAUGGAAGAUACCGUUCGCAAAAGUAGGACCACAUAUGGACACCAGAGAUUAAAAAGGCGUUCAGCAUUCUUAGUUACCAGCUGAGUGAAAAUUGAAGCUACGUUUUGGAUUCCAUCUUCCCCUAGUGACAAUUACUAAGAUAAAGAAAAGAGACAGCAGUGCUGUUGAGUUGCAAAGUUUUCAGUUACCCCAAUACCCAGACUUCUUG
rnacentral:lncRNA from 1 species